AUUGAACGCUGGCGGCAUGCCUUACACAUGCAAGUCGAACGGUAACGGGCCUUCGGGUGCCGACGAGUGGCGAACGGGUGAGUAAUGUAUCGGAACGUACCUUUCAGUGGGGGAUAACGUAGCGAAAGUUACGCUAAUACCGCAUAUUCUGUGAGCAGGAAAGCAGGGGAUCGCAAGACCUUGCGCUGAUUGAGCGGCCGAUAUCAGAUUAGCUAGUUGGUGAGGUAAAGGCGCACCAAGGCGACGAUCUGUAGCGGGUCUGAGAGGAUGAUCCGCCACACUGGAACUGAGACACGGUCCAGACUCCUACGGGAGGCAGCAGUGGGGAAUUUUGGACAAUGGGGGCAACCCUGAUCCAGCCAUGCCGCGUGAGUGAAGAAGGCCUUCGGGUUGUAAAGCUCUUUCGGCCGGGAAGAAAUCGUAUGGGUUAAUACCCUGUGCGGAUGACGGUACCGGCAUAAGAAGCACCGGCUAACUACGUGCCAGCAGCCGCGGUAAAAC
rnacentral:rRNA from 1 species